rnacentral:rRNA from 1 species
GAACUCAGAAGUGAAACGCCGUAGCGCCGAUGGUAGUGUGGGGUCUCCCCAUGCGAGAGUAGGGAACUGCCAGGCAUCAAAUUUAGCGUGCUGAUAUGGCUCAGUUGGUAGAGCGCACCCUUGGUAAGGGUGAGGUCCCCAGUUCGACUCUGGGUAUCAGCACC